AUGAAGCGGAUCCGUGCACCUGCGCUCAGACGCACACGCACAAGCAAAAGCAUAGGACCGAUGGAGCACGUUUCCUAACUCCUCAUCCUCUCGGCACGCCGCGACAAGCUCGAGUUCAUGGACUACCGCGAGGACAUCCCCGACAACACGUACAAGGCCUUCUUUCGCAGGUACAGCUAUCCGGGACAGCCAGUUCGGCCCGGCCUCGCGCGGGGACUGUCUGCCUUCUCACACAGAGAAUGAUGUGCAGUACGCGUUUGCCAAGCGCCGCCACCUCUUCGUCGUCUGCGCCACGCCCGCCAAUACGUUGAUGAGUGUGCUGGCAGAGUUUCUGAUCCGCACGGCGCAGCUGCUGACGGACUACCUCGGCAUCGUUUCGGAGGAAAUCGUGCGCAACAACUUCACCCUCGUCCACGAGCUCUUGGAUAGGGUGGGGGACUUUGGUGUUGUGGAGACGGAGGCGAACCGGCUACAACCGUUUACGGUCAACGACGUCGUUCCCGUCCCGGCGCCUGAAACUCUGCUGGAUCGCAUCUGCAGGGCCGAAUCGGGCGAGAGGACGAAGUAGAUCGAUGAGACUGCAGUGUCGGUGCUGAAGGUAGACCUAUUGGAGAGGAACGAGGCCUACGUAAAGUUUCUGGAGCGAGUCGCCGUGGUUUUCAAUGCGUGCGGGACCGUUGUGGCAACGGUGAAGGGGGCCCUCGCCCUGAAGAGCUUCCUCGCUGGAACGCCCAGCGUGACGGUGGGGCUAUCGAGCGAAGUUGUGCUGCGUGACGAGCUCACUGACGGCCAGCCCUUGCACCCACCCGGUGCCAAUGUGCUGGAGGGUUUCCCUUCCACAUUUGCACGGAUUCUUCUCUGUUUGCACGAAUGCCACAGGAGUCGCUGCGCCUUUCUGUCGGUGAGGUCACGGUGCUGCGCCACCGCUGCCUGAGCCCUGCCGCAGCCUCGCUGUUCCGCCUCGCUCAGUCGCUGGAUGUGCCGUCGGUGUGAAGAGCAGUGCUGAUAAUUCGCUUACAUGGAGGCCUGCCGGCCGAGGCGAGGGCGGCGGUCUUGUGAAUAUCUGUGCCGCUGCUGUUGACCGCGUUGAGAGCGCAGUGGCAGCCGCACGGAAUGAAGGAGAAAGGCGCUUGUAGGAGUGGGAGGGCGGCGAAAGGGAGCUGUGCUGGCUGGUGCCCAAGCUCUCCCUCAACACCGGGCAUCAAGCAUACCUACGUUUCACUACCGCUGGGGAAAUCGCGGCGGCGAUGCAGCGAGAGUUCCGGCCGCUGUGGGUAUAAGUGUGAGGUACCACAGCUCCGCGCCACGGUGUAUGCGCGCGGGCGCUUUAGAUCGACGAGCGUGGUGCUGCAGCAGGUCCAAGCACAUGGAUCCGGUGUAUCAAGCAGGUGAGCGCCUACACCUUCUGCGCUCAGUGAGCGCUACUUCUCUUCUGCCGUUGCUGCAAGGGCGACUGACACACACACACAUGGCGUUGAGCCUUUUCUGUCGCUCUCUCCUUGUUUUGUGCUCCAUGGCACCCCACCCCACCCUUCGCAGCAUUCAACGGGAGGACCGCAGAGGGGGGAGACCCACUAUGCCGUGCGGGCUACCGCAGUUCUCCGCCACGGCACUCUUGACACCAUGAUAGAGGGGAUGUUUGGCCUCUGCCUCUUGCUUGCCUGCUCACAUUGUGCAGCACGAGCAGCUCUCCCGUGCUGCACUUUUCGCGCGGCCACAUUCUCCAUAUCACUGCCCUUGCGACCCUCCCUCCUCUCUAUCUGAUAUCGGUUAUUUUGCUUUUCAG
rnacentral:misc_RNA from 1 species